GGUUAUCAGGGACUAGAUCAACGGACUGAAAAUCCGUGUGUCGGCGGUUCAAUCCCGCCCCUGCCCA
rnacentral:tRNA from 1 species